rnacentral:lncRNA from 1 species
AAAUAAAACGACAAAUACAAAUAACCUCGGGUAUAAAAAGUCUAUUAAACAGGCAUAUAUUACAUCCAUAACCAAACAUCCAAGGCCAACACUCACACAAUCAUACCACAUUACGCGUGAAAUGAAAAUUCUCACGCAGUUAUUGCGUUCACCGUCUAUGGUAUAUAAAUGCUAGUACAGUAUAAGAAUAUAAUCUACAUCCAGCACGCCAUAUCUCUGGUAUAUAAAGACUAAUACAUCACUAUAAUCUACAUCCAUCACCAUACCCGUGGUAUAUAAAGACUCACACAUGACUAUAAUCUACUUCCACCAAGGAGAUCGAGGGAAUGCUAUCGCUUACGUCCUGCGUGUGUCCUGACACUAUUUUCUUCUAUGUUGACGUCUUUAAUGCGUGCUGGUCUGUUGGUUUUUACAAGUCUCAGCAACUGUUUCAUUUUUCUAUUCCAUACGGGACUGUGAGCGGAAUAAUGGACAAACCAUGUACAAAUAAAUAAGCAUGAACAAAUUCAUGGACAAUUAUUG